CCUACGGGGGGCAGCAGUGGGGAAUAUUGGGCAAUGGGCGCAAGCCUGACCCAGCAACGCCGCGUGAAGGAAGAAGGCUUUCGGGUUGUAAACUUCUUUUAAGAGGGAAGAGCAGAAGACGGUACCUCUUGAAUAAGCCACGGCUAACUACGUGCCAGCAGCCGCGGUAAUACGUAGGUGGCAAGCGUUGUCCGGAUUUACUGGGUGUAAAGGGCGUGCAGCCGGGAAGACAAGUCAGAUGUGAAAUCCCGCGGCUCAACCGCGGAACGGCAUUUGAAACUGUUUUUCUUGAGUACCGGAGGGGGCAUCGAAUUUCUUGGUGUGGCGGGGAAAGGGGUAGAUAGAAGGAAGAACACGAGGGGAGAGGGGGGAUGCAGGGACGGAAAGUGACGGGGAGGCGCGAAAGCUUGGGGAGAAAACAGGAGUAGAUACCCGAGUAUUC
rnacentral:rRNA from 1 species